CUUUAAUCUAUAUAUCCAAAUCUCAUUGAAAAGUAAAUUAAACCACACUAAAUGGAUUUAUAAUAUAGUAUAAACUUGAAAACCCAUUUUGCUUAAUCAAACAUGAUUUUUCAAAAUUUAUAGAAAUACUAGAAUAUCAUAGCAUAUGACUUGUUAUGGUCAUUUACUAAAUUUUAAUAUCGUUAUGGUUAUAUGAUCUAAUUUCUCUUAAAUAAUUUAUUUAGUAGUUUAUUUAGAAAUUCAAAUUAUUUGAAAAUUUGCUGUAAAAUAUACAUUUAUGCUUCAAUUUUUAGAUAUUAAUUAUGAAUUAACAGCAUUACAAAAACUGAAAAUCUUUACCAACGAAUAUACUUAUAUAUAUAUAUAUUUUUGUUAAACUUAUAUUUUGAACGUAUCCUAGAUUGUGAAAACCAUAUAUCUUAUUAAAAUAGAAUCAUAAAAUGAAAAUAACCUUUAUCCAACAUAUUUAUUACAAGAAAUGUCAUCAAUUUAUUCAUUUCCUAAAGAUCUCAUUAAUGGUAAAACUACACUAAGAAAGAUUUUAGUCUAACUAUAAAUCUAUAUAUAUAAAGAAGAGCUACUCUCUUCUCUUGUGCUGCUACGUCACUAAUUAGUCUCUUUAGGUGACACCUGUUGAGACUUCAUUUUACUCUUUCGAUGAUGUUAUUGUUGGGUUUUCAUAUCAAGAAUUGAUUUGGGCUUAAGUUCGCGUAACUUCUUACUUGCCUCAGAAAACCUGGAAGGUCACGGAUCUCAUAUGCAUUCAACCACUCUCAUUAACUUACCAAUUAACUCCAUCUCCCCCAUUCCUUCCAUGUUUUCACAUUCAUUGCAUCAUCUUUUCUUCCAGUCGGUGAAUUUGCAAUUAUAAAUAGGUUAGGUUGUAUCAGUAAAUUCACAAUUUCAUUCCUCACAAUCAUAAUAACACAAAAACUCUUCUAACGAUUGAAUCCGAUGUUGAGCGAUUUGAAACUGAGAUCAAAAUUGAGGAAACAUCGUCAUCUCUGCAAGUCAUACCAUGGAAGUCUGACAGAUGUGGAAAUAGAAAGUUGAAUGGGUGAAUUUAAGAUUUUAAGAGGAAAGAGGAAUUGGAAAUUCUAAGAGAGAUACAGAAAAUUGAGAGCAGAAGCCUAUGGAGAUGAAACGUAUUUAUUAGUCGCAAGUGCACUUGCUUGCCAUGUUAUUAUUCUUCUGAUUUUUGUUGUUAUUAUCGAAAAAUUUAACUUCAACUUCGAUAAGAGAUACAAACAAAUAAUUCUCUUAAAUAUUGUAUCUGUUACAAAUAAAAGUUAAUUGAUGCAAGGAGAUAGAAAAAUUAUAGAAUAAGACAUCACAAAAUUUUAAAUCUGUAAAUUUUUCUAAUUGAAUUUUAAAAUAAACAAGGUACAUAUUUGUCAAAACAGGAAAAAUGUU